UAGGCCGAAACUUUAAUGUUGUUUGCAUAAGUCAUUCAGCUAUUAAACCAGAAAUACAGCUAACCUUUUGAGCUAUACUAUAUUUAUUCGGAAUGAAUUGUUUUGUUUCUUUGAAAAUGAAACCAACUGAAGACUUUUGGAAGGAAUAUCACGCGCUAGGUGAACUAAAACCAACAACACCAUCAGCCCGUGUGAUUAUAGAGGAACAUCAGAGAAUCGAUGGCGCUUUUAUUGAGUUAAUGAAAUCGUUCAAGAAGAGCCGAAACAACCAGGAAGACCUUUAUAAAAUCAUGGUACGCGUUAAGCGAGUUCGAGAUGCAUUUUACAAAAAUAAAACUGACUGCACGGAGUUGGUGCAAGACGAGGGAUUGACCCAGAAUAUAAUGCUCAUAAGCGCCUGCGUUGAUGUCUCACUGGGGUACAUCCAUAAAAUGCAGGACAAAUACCAGAGCUUACAGAUGAAGCACUACAAUAGACGCAACCAAAAAAAAAGCACAUACUCGGGUCGGCAAAUGAAACCAGACAUCUUCGUAAAAUUUAACCCAUAUAACUGACAAGAGGAAGACGGAGUUACAAAAACCAAUGAUACAUACCAGAUGAUGUAAGCAUACGUAAAAUAAUAAUCCAAUAAACCAAACAAGUAGCAGCAUACAAUGGAAAAGGAAUCAUUGCAACGCAGAAGUGACAAAACUCAAGGUAGCUUAUCCCCCUCUCUUUCCCAUAGAUGAGCAGUCAACUGCAGGACACAUACCAGAAGAUAAACCACAUACAAAAAUAAUAUGCAUACCAGUAAUCGUACCAGACAAUCAAUGCAAACGCACAAAAACAGCAAACCAACAAGUAGUCGCAGUGCAGCCAACCA